CGGAGGAUUGGAGGAAGGCAGAUGUGGUUCCUAUAUUCAAAAGGGUUCAAAAUCCUUGCCUGGAAAUUAUAGACCUGUGAGCUUAACUUCUGUGGCUGGGAAAAUAUUUGAAAGGUUAUUAAGGGAUAAUAUUCAAGAAUUCCUUGAGAAGAACAUGGUUAUCAGCAAAAAUCAGCAUGGUUUUAUGAAUCACAGGUCAUGUCAAACUAACU
rnacentral:lncRNA from 1 species